UACGUAGGGUGCGAGCGUUGUCCGGAAUUACUGGGCGUAAAGAGCUCGUAGGUGGUUUGUCGCGUUGUCCGUGAAAACUCACAACUCAAUUGUGGGCGUGCGGGCGAUACGGGCAGACUGGAGUACUGCAGGGGAGACUGGAAUUCCUGGUGUAGCGGUGGAAUGCGCAGAUAUCAGGAGGAACACCGAUGGCGAAGGCAGCUCGCUGGGACGGUACUGACGCUGAGACGCGAAAGCGUGGGGAGCGAACAGG
rnacentral:rRNA from 1 species